GUGACCCAGCAUUGUGGUACAGUGGAGACCCUGGAGAUUGUGCCUUGGACGGUCUUCUUUGAUGGAUCCACGUGUGAUCGGGGGCAGGAAUCGGCAUAGUGCUAAUUUCCCCUCGGGGAGAGAAAUAUGAGUUCUCUUUGCCGAUUGUUGCCACGUCAACAAAUAAUCAGGCCGAGUAUCAAGCUCUAAUAAAGGGGUUGGAAUUGCUACGGGAAAUUCAUGCUGAUGCUGUUGAAAUCUUCCGAGAUUCUAUGCUAGUUAUAAAUCAAUUGGCUGGAAGCUAUGAAUGCCGAAGUGAGGUCCUUAUAACUUAUCACGAGAGGAGUAUGCAGCUGUUAAAGGAAUUCAAAGAUUUCCGAUUAGAGCAUGUUCCUCGAUUGCAUAAUGAAGAGGCCAAUCGGUUGGCUCAGCAUGCCUCGGGAUACCAGCCUAUGAUAAUGCAAUAUCGGCAAUCGGUGCCGAUGAUUGGAGGAAAGAGAUCAUUGAUUAUUUAAAGGACCCAUCUAAGAAAGUUGAGAGGCGUGUUCGGUUUCAAGCCACCAAGUACAUACUCCUCAGGGAUGAGUUAUAUUACCGAACUAUUGACGGGAUUCUUGUCAGAUGCUUAGGUAGUGAUGAGGCUAGAAGUUUGAUGGGAGAAAUCCAUGAGGGGGUGUGUGGUGCACAUCAGUCAACUUUCAAAUACACCUCUGCCACCUGCUAGCUACAUCAAGAGAAAUUACGUCAAAAUUCAGCUUGGGGGAGAGCACCCCCAUUUAUCUCGAUAAGUAUUUCUAUCUAUCUAUCUUUAUACCUAUAUUAUUUUAGAGUAUAAAUAUACAUAACUAUGAAAAACCAAAUAACGAUUUUAUGCUUAUAUAUAUAUAUGUCUUUUGCUUAGUGUGAUUAAUAAAUAAAUAAAGUGGCUUUGCUAAUCUGUAUCUAAAUAAAACUCAAGCAUGGAUAAGAUGAAUAGUUGCUCUGCCUAAUUUGCACAUUUUAAGUUCUCUCUCAAGUUUAGAUAUAACUGUUAUAAUUUAAAGCUUGCUCUAGACCUAAACUUGUGGGAUGAAAACUUGAUCUGAAUUCUAAGUUGUUAAUGGAUACGAUAUGGGAAGGUUGAGCUGCUGUUUAUCUGUUCCUAGAGAUGCUAGAAUUCUGGAGAAUUUUAUCUUUGAAAAUCUUUAAAAUGUUGCAUGAUGAGUUCCUGUAUGAUGAGAGUUUAAAUUCCUACCACAGCCAUAUAUAUAUGCUUGCUAGACUUUGAGCCACACAUUUACUAUUUACUGCUUAUGAGCAUUGAGUGUGGUCAAGCUGUGUAGACCCUUAGGAGCUUGUCAUGUGGUUAAAUCAAUAUUCACUUGCACGUUCACUCAUAUAUGCUACUUCUACUCCGGAACUACCAUCCACAUAUAUCCAUCCAUUUCCAUCUCCAGAAUCACCUAAAAAUAUUCUACUCCUAAUCCGAGAGAGAAUAGCCAAAAAUAUCUCUGUUUUUUUUUCCUUGUGAAAUAAAUGCUCAAGUUAUCUUGUUACUACCACUUGCUAUAUUAUCUCAAGAGAUGAGUGCUCUAAAAAAAUAUAAAAAAAUAAAUAAAUACGAGGAAAUAAAAAGGAGCAAAUGCUCGGAACCUCGAAAGAAAAGAAAAAGUGAGACGAGAGGUAAAAAUGGACAAGUGUCUGACAGUAGAAUUAGGGGUACAAGAUACCCACCUGAGAGAAAAGAAAAAUAUAGAGCAUCUCAUUCUCCUCAUAAAGUUUCAAAAAGCAAGGAAGGUAUGUAUCCCCUCAAAAGAGCAAAAGUAGAAUUAGACUUUCACCAUUGUUAUCACCAUCAUCACCAUACACCAUUCAUUCGCCACACAUGCACAUCUUGAUUAAACUUAUUGGCUUGUUUCAUUGGAUCCAUGGUUUGACUAUGCAAUAAAUGUCUUGUAAGUAUGUAUAUUUUAUCUCCCACCUAUGAGCUCCAGAUAUUAAAGCCUUAUUAGAGUAGGGUGAGAGAGAAGGCAAUGUCACUAUGCUUUAUACCACAAAAACUACAUAUCUUGAGAGAAGGCAUAUACCAUCACUGCCUUGGUAAGGAUCCAGAAAUACCACAAAAGAGAGAUCUGAGAGAAUCAUACAAGGAAUCUCUGAGUUUUAUUUGAAAAUCUGCAAAAACUCCAGAGCUAUAGCUGAUCAAGAAUAAGAGACAUGGCACUUGGCUAGACUGUUCUAUCUUUUAACCACUCAAGACAGAAGUGACGGUUACAAGUCCCAUGGUAAAGGUAAAGUAAGUAAGUUUUAAGUCUUGACAGUUUACUCUAACUCAGAGAUGAGAUCUUAUUUAAAAAGUAUGUGUACCGUCAAUUCUUUUUAAAAUAUUGCAACAACUUAUGAUCCAUAGCUGAGUCUGUCCUUGCUCAGGGACGAGCAAGAGGUAAGCUUGGGGGAGUUUGUUGACGGUCCUUAAGUAUCAAAUUUAAUUAUCAAAUAAAUAAAGAAAAGGAUCCAAAUGAAAUCAACAUCUAGACUUAGGGUUUUAUCUGACAGAAUUCCACGAGUUUUGGUGUUUGUCUAUUUCUACAGGGGGUUAUCAGGAAAUACGGAAGAAAGGCCCACACGUCGGGAUUACAUAGAGAUAUUAACGGGCCACGCAAUUAUCUUACAUCUAGAAGACUCCAGAAGCCACGAGACCGAAGCGGAGGCGAAACGGGGUCAGAGGCAGGGCGCCCGCCCUCCUGCCCUGGGCGCCCGCCCCCUCCCUGAGUCCAAUCAGGACUCUGCUUCGUGGGAGAUCUCCACCGACCUAAAGGAUGAAUCUAAACCAUACAAUCUAUGUCGGUUUGAUCCAACGGCCCAUAUUCACUUGAAGGGACUAUAAAACCAGACCCCCUGGCCCCUGGAGGAGAGAGCCUCUCAACCCUAAUUCAUUAUUCCUCAAGGGAGAAGAAGCCUCUGAUCAAGAUUAGAGCCACCACAUCAAUUAGAUAUCUAGAUUAGCAUAGCUACAUAGGAUUAGAACUAGAAGGAGUCAAUCUUCGAUUGGUUUCCGGAUCUGUCAGGAGGAUUCUUGGUAAUUCUCUAAUUGUGCUUCUAAUUGCUUUCUAAUUAUCUUUGUUCUUCAAUAUUAUGAAUAUGACUUUGUUCUACUUCAAUAUAUUGCUUAUGACUUUGCUCUACUUGCUUAUAUUCAAGAUUAUAUUGUUCUUAGUUUAUCAUAGUUAUGUACUUGGCUUAGUUAGAUUGGAUCUAUAUACAUGCUUAGGAUCGUAUAGUGUUUAUCCAUCGGAUCCAUGGGUAAAUGAUAGAUAUUGUGUAGGCGUGGUGCUUAUACCGUAUUUAUCUGCGAUUGUACCCAAUAUGCCAGAUCGUGGGGUGGUUCGUGAUAGUGACAGCUUCAUUGAUUCUUAUAUAGUCCCCCUCUCGUGUAUUGGGCUGGCAGAGCAAUAUUAUUACAGGGGAGUGAUUGCUAUGUUUCUCAUUUACCUUGCUAAUAUCUCUAUGCAUGGGCGUAGUCUUGUCUCGCAAUGAUUGCUAAGUAUGCUUGCACUAACUAUGAUAAUGCUAGACUAUAUAGUUGAGAAUAACUUAGGGAAUAUUCUUGUAGUUCAUUCUAAUACCAUGCUAAUGACUUUCUAGAGUAUCUAAUUGAGGUGCUUAUCAUAUUUAUUAUGUGGCUAGAUCAGACUAAUUAUCUUUGUCACUAUUAUUAUUUCAUAUAUCCUUUAUGUCACACUUAUCCCUGUAUGAAGAGUUAGAUAAAUGUUCUCAAUUAUACAUGCAAUGAUAGAUACUCAAUCUCAUAUUCUAUUCUGUAAUCAAUAGUGAUGAUUGCUAAUCCCUUCCUAGUGGUAAAAAUAUAAAUAACGAUACCUGGAAUACUUCCCGGUUAAAAUGCUACAUCGGUAUUAAUCUGUGCGCUUGCAGAUCCCAAUCAUUAUUUAUUUAGAAGAGCAAUUGCAUAUUUCAAUACCGCGUCUCUUAUAUCAUGCUGGGGAUGACAACUUGGCUUAAGUGGUGUGAGGGAUAGGUUUGGAAUUUUUGGCACCGUUACUAGAUUUAGAGAACUUAGUCUACUUUUGGUAAUGAUGUUAAGAAUACCCAACAAGUAUUUUUGGCGCCGUUGCCGGGGAAGGUUGAUUACUAAUCAGAAAUGGAAUAAAAGAUUUUGAGUUAUCAUUCGCAUCACUAAUAUGAUUGAGCUUAUCUAUUCUCUCAUACAGUUUUACCCCGAUAUUUUUCUAUUUUAUCUUAUGCAGGGGAAUGUAUGAAUAGAAGACAUCUUCCAGGAAAUUUUGUUGACAAUCCCGAAGCAUUAUUCAAGAAGACGAGAGCCAAGCUCAAGACGAGAUCAUCAACACUUCAGCAAGAAGCUUCAUCCAAUCAAGAAGAUCACCGGAACAUGUCUUCAGAGUUCGAGGCCAUGGCGAACAAAUCAAUCCGCGAGUUCUUAGCUCCCACUACGGACAACAUCCGCACUGGACCUGCUGCAAAGAUCGAUGGCAACUUUGAGCUUAAGCCUGGACUUAUCAAUAUGGUGCAAUUCAACCAGUUCUGUGGGAAGGCACACGAAGAUGCUAGUGCUCAUUUACAACACUUCCUGGAGAUUUGCAACACAUUCACCAUAUCAGGAGUUUCCAAAGAUGCUAUACUACUUCGCCUCUUCCCAUUCUCACUGUUAGGAAGAGCGAAGCAGUGGUUCUACGCUACAAAGGAGAAGAAUACUACAUGGGCACUCUGCUCAACAAACUUCCUGGCAAAGUUCUUUCACAUGGGCAAGACCAAUGCUCUCCGUGGGAAGAUUACAAGUUUUCAGCAACAAAAUGAUGAAUCUGUUCCAGAAGCAUGGGAGCGCUUUCAAGACUACAUCCUAGAAUGUCCCCAUCAUGGAAUGGAGAGUUGGCUAUUGAUGCAGACAUUUUAUCAUGGGCUCGGCAACAGUGCCCGAGAAACCAUGGAUGCUGCAGCUGGAGGAGCAUUCUUAUCACUCACUAUACCACAAGCCACAGCUCUUGUGGAGAAGAUGGCGUCCAAUCAAGGCUGGAAUGAAGAGAGGACCCAGACACGCAAGAGAGGUGGAGGUAUGCAUCAGCUGAAGGAGGUAGACAUGCUGUCUGCAAAGCUAGACCUGCUCAUGAAGAAGCUCGACGAUAGAGCUGGAGACAAGAAAGAAGUUAUGCACAUCUACGACUCUCACAUGACUUGUGAGGAGUGUGGAGAUACUGGACACUCAGGCAACCACUGCCCUGAGAUGCUUGAGGAUGUGAACUACAUCAACAACAACAACUACUACUACUACAACCGUCCUCAACAAAAUCAAGGUUGGAAUCAACAGAGGCCUAACUACUCAGGUAAUUAUCAAGGUAACAAUUCUUACAACAAUAAUAAUAAUUUUCCACCUUUGAGAGAGUUAGUGUCUAAUCAAGGAAAGCUAAUGGAUAACCUAUCUAAGAAAUUGGCAUCUAAUGAUAAAAUGCUAGAAAAUAUAAAUAAUAGAAUGGAUAAUUUCUCUACUGCCAUCAAGAAUCAAAUUAGCUUUAAUAAAAUGAUUGAAUCUCAGUUAAAUCAAAUAGCUGCUGCUGUUCCUACUACUAACUCCGGUAUACCAUCACAACCGGAAGGAUUAGAAUCUGCAAAUCUUGUAGACAUGUUUGAUGCAGGUAAUAACUGGAGUAACCCUGUCACUGAAUUCUCUACUAACCUUCUGCCGGUCAAGAGAGGCGAUCCAGGACGUCCCGUCAUCCCGAUCUCCAUCGGCAUGGUGGACGUUCCAGAAGCACUCUGCGACUUUGGCUCUAGCGUCAACAUUAUACCCAGGGUACUCUACGAAAAAUUCUUUACAUAUCCUUUAUCAGAAACAACCAUGUGUUUGCAGUUUGCAGAUCAGACGAUAACUUUUCCAAAGGGAAUAUUGAAGAACCUUUGUGUCCGAGUUGGUACCUUGUAUGUCCUAGCAGACUUCGUAGUGGUAGAGACCGGAAAUGAUGAGAGAGCACCCAUCAUCUUAGGGAGGCCAUUCUUGAACACAAUGGGAGCUAUCAUCUACGCUAGUGCUGCCAAGAUCAGUUUCUACGUCAAAGGGAGGAAGGAGACAUUUUUCUUCAAGAACAAGACUACACAAAUUCCAUAUCAAUCCAGACGUGAAUCAAGGAAGAGGACCAACAGGAGGAAUAGGAACAAGCAAGUGUGGACCGAGUCAGCUAAGAUGGUCACUGUAGUUCAUGGAGGCCAAGAUCACCAACUUAAGUCACCGCUUUUGACCAAGAAGGACGACCCAGGAAUGCCAAGCAUCUACUGCUCCAUAAAUGGAUACAACUUCUACAAGGCAACUUGUGACACCGGAUCAGGCGUCAACAUAAUGGCCGCAGUCACCUAUCGGCUCUUGUUCGGGACCAUGCCCCUAAGACCAACAUACAUUCAGCUCGAGAUGGCAGAUUAGACAUUUCGAGAAGUUAAAGGAACAGUAACUGAUGUCCCAGUCAAAAUAGACGAUCACUUUGUCUACACAGACUUUCAAGUUAUUGACAUGGGAGAAGACGAGUAUGAUCCACCCAUCAUCCUUGGAAGACCGUUCCUCAGCACCGUUAAAGCAAUUAUCUACAUUGGAACCGGAGAAGUCCAUAUGCACUUCCCCUCAGAGAAGGUACGCCGUUAUUUUACUGACCCUAACUAUGUCAUUGAAGAAUCUAAGCAGGUAAGAAAAGACGCAACCGCAACCAGAGGAGGCAGAUCAUCAGGGACGGAUGGGCAAACUACGAAGGAGAAGUUGUAAGGUCAGAAGACGUAGAGUUUAAACAGAAUUAUCCAGAGGAGAUUGAAGCACCAAGUCAGGUGUGGAAAAUGAAGAUAACUAUACAUGAAGAGGAGGCGCCGCCGGAAGUAUCGACUACGCCACCCAACGAACCUCAAGAGGAUUGAAAAAAAUGGAGAGUCCCGUUCAGAGGACUUGAAAGCACCGAACGCCUUGCCAAGAGGUAAACUUGGUAGUUAUCUUUUCCCUUUUAGUUAUUUCAAAUAGUUACUUAGUUAAUCAUAUUCACACUAUCUUAAAAAUAAAAAAGAAAAUAAAAUAUGAAAAACAGUAAGCCCCAUGUGAGUAGACGAGUGGCAUAAAACCCAUAAGUACAUUCACUGUGGUGGCAUAAAAAUAAAAUAAAUAUUUCUUUUCUGCUUUAUAAAAUAAAAAUAUAAAAACAGGGAGUAAUAAUUAUUAAGGAGUCUCAACAUGAUAAAGGCUAGAUAUUUAUGCUAACACUUAAUCAGUUCCACAAGCUUUGUUGUCUAUUUGAGCUCCACAGAAUGUAAGAAGACUAGCAGACGGAGGACACUCUAAUCGCUGUCAGAAUGCUGCUGACUUUCAAAUACACCUCUGCCACCUGCUAGCUACAUCAAGAGAAAUUACGUCAACAUUCAGCUUGGGGGAGAGCACCCCCAUUUAUCUCGAUAAGUAUUUCUAUCUAUCUAUCUUUAUACAUAUAUUAUUUUAGAGUAUAAAUAUACAUAACUAUGAAAAACCAAAUAAAGAUUUUAUGCUUAUAUAUAUAUAUAUAUGUCUUUUGCUUAGUGUGAUUAAUAAAUAAAUAAAGUGGCUUUGCUAAUCUGUAUCUAAAUAAAACUCAAGCAUGGAUAAGAUGAAUAGUUGCUCUGCCUAAUUUGCACAUUUUAAGUUCUCUCUCAAGUUUAGAUAUAACUGUUAUAAUUUAAAACUUGCUCUAGACCUAAACUUGUGGGAUGAAAACUUGAUCUGAAGUCUAAGUUGUUAACGGAUACGAUAUGGGAAGGUUGAGCUGCUGUUUAUCUGUUCCUAUAGAUGCUAGAAUUCUGGAGAAUUUUAUCUUUGAAAUCUUUAAAAUGUUGCAUGAUGAGUUCCUGUAUGAUGAGAGUUUAAAUUCCUACCACAGCCAUAUAUAUAUGCUUGCUAGACUUUGAGCCACACAUUUACUAUUUACUGCUUAUGAGCAUUGAGUGUGGUCAAGCUGUGUAGACCCUUAGGAGCUUGUCAUGUGGUUAAAUCAAGAUUCACUUGCACGUUCACUCAUAUAUGCUACUUCUACUCCGGAAGUACCAUCUAAAAAUAUUCUACUCCUAAUCCGGGAGAGAAUAGCCAAAAAUAUCUCUGUUUUUUUCCUUGUGAAAUAAAUGCUCAAGUUAUCUUGUUACUACCACUUGCUAUAUUAUCUCAAGAGAUGAGUGCUCUAAAAAAAAUAUAAAAAAAUAAAUAAAUACGAGGAAAUAAAAAGGAGCAAGUGCUCGGAACCUCGAAAGAAAAGAAAAAGUGAGACGAGAGGUAAAAAUGGACAAGUGUCCGACAGUAGAAUUAGGGGUACAAGAUACCCACCUGAGAGAAGAGAAAAAUAUAGAGCAUCUCAUUCUCCUCAUAAAGUUUCAAAAAGCAAGGAAGGUAUGUAUCCCCUCAAAAGAGCAAAAGUAGAAUUAGACUUUCACCAUUGUUAUCACCAUCAUCACCAUACACCAUUCAUUCGCCACACAUGCACAUCUUGAUUAAACUUAUUGGCUUGUUUCUUUGGAUCCAUGGUUUGACUAUGCAAUAAAUGUCUUGUAAGUAUUUAUAUUUUAUCUCCCACCUAUGAGCUCCAGAUAUUAAAGCCUUAUUAGAGUAGGGUGAGAGAGAAGACAAUGUCACUAUGCUUUAUACCACAAAAACUACAUAUCUUGAGAGAAGGCAUAUACCAUCACUGCCUUGGUAAGGAUCCAGAAAUACCACAAAAGAGAGAUCUGAGAGAAUCAUACAAGGAAUCUUUGAGUUUUAUUUGAAAAUCUGCAAAAACUCCAGAGCUAUAGCUGAUCAAGAAUAAGAGACAUGGCACUUGGCUAGACUGUUCUAUCUUUUAACCACUCAAGACAGAAGUGACGGUUACAAGUCCCGUGGUAAAGGUAAAGUAAGUAAGUUUUAAGUCUUGACAGUUUACUCUAACUCAGAGAUGAGAUCUUAUUUAAAAAGUAUGUGUACUGUCAAUUCUUUUUAAAAUAUUGCAACAACUUAUGAUCCAUAGCUGAGUCUGUCCUUGCUCAGGGACGAGCAAGAGGUAAGUUUGGGGGAGUUUGUUGACGGUCCUUAAGUAUCAAAUUUAAUUAUCAAAUAAAUAAAGAAAAGGAUCCAAAUGAAAUCAACAUCUAGACUUAGGGUUUUAACUGACAGAAUUCCACAAGUUUUGGUGUUUGUCUAUUUCUACAAGGGGUUAUCAGGAAAUACGGAAGAAAGGCCCACACGUCGGGAUUACAUAGAGAUAUUAACGUGCCGCGCAAUUAUCUUACAUCUAGAAGACUCCAGAAGCCACGAGACCGAAGCGGAGGCGAAAUGGGGUCCGAGGCAGGGCGCCCGCCCUCCUGCCCUGGGCGCCCGCCCCCUCCCUGAGUCCAAUCAGGACUCUGCUUCGUGGGAGAUCUCCACCGACCUAAAGGAUGAAUCUAAACCAUACAAUCUAUGUCGGUUUGAUCCAACGGCCCAUAUUCACUUGAAGGGACUAUAAAACCAGACCCCCUGGCCCCUGGAGGAGAGAGCCUCUCAACCCUAAUUCAUUAUUCCUCAAGGGAGAAGAAGCCUCUGAUCAAGACUAGAGCCACCACAUCAAUUAGAUAUCUAGAUUAGCAUAGCUACAUAGGAUUAGAACUAGAAGGAGUCAAUCUUUGAUUGGUUUCCGAAUCUGUCAGGAGAAUUCUUGGUAAUUCUCUAAUUGUGCUUCUAAUUGCUUUCUAAUUAUCUUUGUUCUUCAAUAUUAUGAAUAUGACUUUGUUCUACUUCAAUAUAUUGCUUAUGACUUUGCUCUACUUGCUUAUAUUCAAGAUUAUAUUGUUCUUAGUUUAUCAUAGUUAUGUAUUUGGCUUAGUUAGAUUGGAUCUAUAUACAUGCUUAGGAUCGUAUAGCGUUUAUCCAUCGGAUCCAUGGGUAAAUGAUAGAUAUUGUGUAGGCGUGGUGCUUAUACCAUAUUUAUCUGCGAUUGUACCCAAUAUGCC
rnacentral:lncRNA from 1 species